AACGCGAAGAACCUUACCUGGUCUUGACAUCCACGGAAUUCGGCAGAGAUGCCUUAGUGCCUUCGGGAACCGUGAGACAGGUGCUGCAUGGCUGUCGUCAGCUCGUGUUGUGAAAUGUUGGGUUAAGUCCCGCAACGAGCGCAACCCUUAUCCUUUGUUGCCAGCGGUCCGGCCGGGAACUCAAAGGAGACUGCCAGUGAUAAACUGGAGGAAGGUGGGGAUGACGUCAAGUCAUCAUGGCCCUUACGACCAGGGCUACACACGUGCUACAAUGGCGCAUACAAAGAGAAGCGACCUCGCGAGAGCAAGCGGACCUCAUAAAGUGCGUCGUAGUCCGGAUUGGAGUCUGCAACUCGACUCCAUGAAGUCGGAAUCGCUAGUAAUCGUGGAUCAGAAUGCCACGGUGAAUACGUUCCCGGGCCUUGUACACACCG
rnacentral:rRNA from 1 species